CAGUCGCCGCGGUAAUACGUAGGUGGCAAGCGUUGUCCGGAAUUAUAGGGCGUAAAGGGCUCGCAGGCGGUUUCUUAAGUCUGAUGUGAAAGCCCCCGGCUCAACCGGGGAGGGUCAUUGGAAACUGGGAAACUUGAGUGCAGAAGAGGAGAGUGGAAUUCCACGUGUAGCGGUGAAAUGCGUAGAGAUGUGGAGGAACACCAGCGGCGAAGGCGACUCUCUGGUCUGUAACUGACGCUGAGGAGCGAAAGCGUGGGGAGCGAACAGGAUUAGAUACCCCUGUAGUCCCUGUCUCUUAUAC
rnacentral:rRNA from 1 species